CCUACGGGUGGCAGCAGUGAGGAAUAUUGGUCAAUGGGCGGAAGCCUGAACCAGCCAAGUAGCGUGCAGGAUGACGGCCCUACGGGUUGUAAACUGCUUUUAUACGGGAAUAACGCGCCUUACGUGUAGGGCUUUGUAUGUACCGUAUGAAUAAGGACCGGCUAAUUCCGUGCCAGCAGCCGCGGUAAUACGGAAGGUCCGGGCGUUAUCCGGAUUUAUUGGGUUUAAAGGGAGCGUAGGCCGCAUGUCAAGCGUGCUGUGAAAUGUCCGGGCUCAACCCGGGCCUUGCAGCGCGAACUGGCCUGCUUGAGUCCGCUGAAGGCAGGCGGAAUUCGUGGUGUAGCGGUGAAAUGCUUAGAUAUGACGAAGAACCCCGAUUGCGAAGGCAGCUUGCUGCAGCGGAACUGACGCUGAUGCUCGAAAGCGCGGGUAUCGAACAGGAUUAGAUACCCGAGUAGUC
rnacentral:rRNA from 1 species